rnacentral:rRNA from 1 species
CCUACGGGAGGCAGCAGUGGGGAAUAUUGCACAAUGGGCGGAAGCCUGAUGCAGCAACGCCGCGUGCGGGAUGACGGCCUUCGGGUUGUAAACCGCUUUCGCCUGUGACGAAGCGUGAGUGACGGUAAUGGGUAAAGAAGCACCGGCUAACUACGUGCCAGCAGCCGCGGUGAUACGUAGGGUGCGAGCGUUGUCCGGAUUUAUUGGGCGUAAAGGGCUCGUAGGUGGUUGAUCGCGUCGGAAGUGUAAUCUUGGGGCUUAACCCUGAGCGUGCUUUCGAUACGGGUUGACUUGAGGAAGGUAGGGGAGAAUGGAAUUCCUGGUGGAGCGGUGGAAUGCGCAGAUAUCAGGAGGAACACCAGUGGCGAAGGCGGUUCUCUGGGCCUUUCCUGACGCUGAGGAGCGAAAGCGUGGGGAGCGAACAGGCUUAGAUACCCUGGUAGUCCACGCUGUAAACGGUGGGUACUAGGUGUGGGGUCCAUUCCACGGGUUCCGUGCCG